UACGGAAUGUGCAAACGUUAUUCGGAAUCACUGGGCUUAAAGAGUCCGUAGGCGGCAUGUUAGGUGAGGUGUGAAAUCCCCCGGCUCAACCGAGGAAUUGCGCUUCAAACCGGCGUGCUUGAGGAAGAUAGAGGUGGGCGGAACUGAUGGUGGAGCGGUGAAAUGCGUUGAUAUCAUCAGGAACACCGAUGGCGAAGGCACUUUACUGGGCUAUUACUAACACUCAGAGACGAAAGCUAGGGUAGCAAAUGGG
rnacentral:rRNA from 1 species